rnacentral:lncRNA from 1 species
UGAACGUAUUAAAAGGAUUUCUGGAUUUGGUAAAAUAAAAGGUUUUCUACCCCUCGUGGUAGCUUCUAUAAAAGAUAAAAGUUUUCGCGUACGAAACAGUUUUCAAAAGAUUUUUCGUGGACUUCUGUUUAAACAUCGAAUGUAAAACUACGAGGUGAAUGGUGAAUGUAUGAAUGUAUAGCUAUCUGUAUAUUCAUUUGAUUGUGGUUGUAUACUGUUUGUACUUUUGUACUUGUGUGACGCCGUGCAAGUACAGGGGAGACUCUGUCCGUGUGAACAGUGGAUUCCCUG